GUUACUGUACGUUGGGAGGGAGAGAGACAUUUUCUUCAGUGCUGUAGCCCCUGAGUUAACUGCCCUUGCUCCUGUGCAUGGUCCCUCCCCGGUGUUCCUGAGGUGGCCAUCCAUCACAGGGGCUUGUACGUGUGGUCUGCAGUUCUUGCUCCUGCAACAUGUCAACCUGAGAUGGCCUGGCACAAAGUACUAUACUGGGUGAUCAGAACUGUAGGGAUUCAGGAUCAGCCACUUGCAGAAGCCAGAAGCCCAAGAUCAAGAGGAACUCCCGAAGGACUAGGGGACGUCACCCACUGUGCUUGCGGUAGUGCGUCUUUGAUCUCUCUACAGUGUCCUCCUCUCUUGGGUGUGCACAUGUUCAAGCUUCCGCUUCUGUAAGGACAUUGAAUUUGGGCUCAGCCCAGGGAUGAAGAGUUGAGGACCACUAGAGGCUGUGGAGCAUCUUUUGGAAGGCUAAGCCUCAGAAGGACAAAAUCAGAAAGCAAAGCAGGUAUGUUGUAGAAGAGGACUAAACAGGGGCCAGACACCUAGAGAACAUGGUUUUAGAAGUCAGAUGGCAGUGUACACACAGGGAAUGAACAGUAUGAGGGUGAAGGAGAGGUGCCAGAUAUUUGUCAAGAGGGAAGGGGAAUGUACAUUUUUAAGCAUGAAAGCCAUUCCUAUUACUUACCAACUAACUACCAUCUAUUUACCAAUCAUCUACCAUCUACUUAGCUAUUGAUUUUCUCUCUUCCAUAAUCUAUUAUCUAUCUACACUCUAUAAGUCAUCUAUCAAUACUAAUUUACCUAUCAUCUAUCAUUGUCUAUCAACCAGACUACGUUCAUAUUUCUUCUCUUUUGCCCUGAACUUUUCCUUUUAAAUGAAUGUGUAAUAUACUGUAAAUAAGAAAGGAAACUAGACAAAAUGAAAUUCUUAAAACAGAGUCCCAAACUCAAGUGAGACAGGGAAGGAUCACAGAAGUCCAAU
rnacentral:lncRNA from 1 species